rnacentral:lncRNA from 10 species
GUCUUUCCUGUGCUGUUCUCAUGAUAGUGAAUAAGUUUCGUGAGAUCUGAUGAUUUUAUAAAGGGAAGUUUCCCUGCAUGUGCUCUCUUGCCUGCUGCCACGUAAGACAUGGCUUUGCUCCUGCUUCAUCUUCUGCCGUGAUUGUCCACCUCCUUUGAUCCACACGAUAUCCUUCAUGAGGAAGAUAUCAGCAUCCGCAUUAUAUGGACAAAGACAGCAGAGACUCAGAGAAAUGAAGCACGCACCAGUGCUUAGUCAAGUCAAAAUAUUUACAGGCGAGGCCGGGCAGGUGCAGUGGCUCACGCCUGUAAUCCUAGCACUUUGGGAGGCUGAAGUACGAGGAUUGCUUGAAUCCAGGAGUUAAGACCAGCCUGGACAACAUGGUUCUGAACUCUGGCUCGCCCUCAGCCUGAGCCGCAAAAUAGUCUGGCCUCGGAGAAACAGUCUUCAGUUUCCUAUAGGAUCGUGCCACCCAUUCAUCCCCCUUCUCAUUCAUUCUUGCCUGUUUACUCCUCUCUAUGAAAGAAAACCCCUGUUUGCCUAACUCUUGGGGAUGCCUGCAGAUCUUGGGGUCAGAGAAGCUCCCUGCUGCAAUAAUCGCUUUCCCCACUCUGCAAUAAUCCUUUUAAAUAAAAUCUUUCCUUACUAAGUCCAGAUUUCUUUUUUAUUUGACAAUGACCACAGGCAAGUGAUUUCACUGCAGUUUCCUCCAUCUGUAAAGUAAGAAAAAUAUGUUGC